CACAAGCCCAAAGUGAAAGUCACAGCCAGACAGGAUGCAACUUGAUGGCACUGGAUUAACAAUGGAGCCGCUUCCCCCAGGUGGGCAGCUGGUGCCUGAGAGUGGAGAUGGUGUGGGGUCCUUGAGGGUGACCGACGGCAAGGCUUGGAUGCCAUGAGAAAUUGAAGCCAAUCUACUCUGCUUUGAAGGACUGUAACCCCAGCCGUAGAAAGUUCCCAGUGUGUGGAUCUCCCAUGAUGCUUAUCAUCA
rnacentral:lncRNA from 1 species